AUUGAACGCUGGCGGCAUGCCUUACACAUGCAAGUCGAACGGCAGCACGGGAGCAAUCCUGGUGGCGAGUGGCGAACGGGUGAGUAAUAUAUCGGAACGUGCCCAGUCGUGGGGAUAACGUAGCGAAAGCUACGCUAAUACCGCAUACGAUCUAUGGAUGAAAGCGGGGGAUCGCAAGACCUCGCGCGAUUGGAGCGGCCGAUAUCAGAUUAGGUAGUUGGUGAGGUAAAGGCUCACCAAGCCGACGAUCUGUAGCUGGUCUGAGAGGACGACCAGCCACACUGGGACUGAGACACGGCCCAGACUCCUACGGGAGGCAGCAGUGGGGAAUUUUUGGGACAAUGGGCGCAAGCCUGAUCCAGCAAUGCCGCAUGCAGGAU
rnacentral:rRNA from 1 species